GGUGGUGUACAGCUCAGUGGUGGAGUGCAUACCUAGCAUGCAUGAGGCCCUGGGUUCAAUCCCCAAUACCUCCA
rnacentral:tRNA from 1 species